GCCAGCACUUCAAUAUUUUGAAAGCCUAAGCUUUGGAUCUAUGUCACUGAGUUUUCUGGACUACGUUUCUGAAAGUUACUCUGGAUGAUCAAGCCUGUCUUUGUUCUGAGGAUUCCUAUCCUGUGAUCUACCUUUGUUUGGAUUCACAUCAAGUUGGCAGCUUCCUGUCCUCUUCGUCUCCUGAGCCAAGCCACAAGCGUACCCUGUCCACCCUCUGAUGUAGCCACCGCACAUCAAACUUUUUUACUGUAACCUGAGCACCACAGAACAGCACCAAGUGAACUCUCUACGGAUAUACCUGCUUAAGACCUGGAUCCUGAAUCUCAUUCCCCCUGGCGACCUGACCAUCAUAACUCAGUAAGCCAAUCUCAGUAUCAAAAUAACUAUUUGCUCUUAGUUUCAUUUUUCCCUCCGUUACCGGUACUCAUCCAUUCUCUUCACUUCUGUCCUUUAUAGUGAGAUAUUUUGUCCGUUCUGUUCUUGACUAUAUCUUCAAUAAACAAUCUUUAUUUUACUUUCUCCUCCUGCGUGUUCUCUUUAUGUGUGUCCGAGCUAUUUCGAACAUAAUGACAGAAGGAACCUUCCCAAAGUAACCAGUGUUUUUUUCUCCAGUGAAACCUAAGAAGCCUGUGUACGUACCCGUGGUUGCCAGACCAAGGAACCCCUGAACUGAAUUCUGAGCUGUACUAAUAAACCUUUCCUCAACCAUA